rnacentral:rRNA from 1 species
UACUCGAGUGGCGAACGGGUGAGUAACACGUGGGUGAUCUGCCCUGCACUUCGGGAUAAGCCUGGGAAACUGGGUCUAAUACCGGAUAGGAGCCAUUUUAGUUGUGAGUGGUUGGAAAGUUUUUUCGGUGUAGGAUGAGCUCGCGGCCUAUCAGCUUGUUGGUGGGGUAAUGGCCUACCAAGGCGGCGACGGGUAGCCGGCCUGAGAGGGUGACGGCCACAUUGGGACUGAGAUACGGCCCAG